CCUACGGGGGGCAGCAGUGAGGAAUAUUGGUCAAUGGACGAGAGUCUGAACCAGCCAAGUAGCGUGAAGGAUGACUGCCCUAUGGGUUGUAAACUUCUUUUAUAUGGGAAUAAAACGUUCCACGUGUGGGAUUUUGUAUGUACCAUAUGAAUAAGGAUCGGCUAACUCCGUGCCAGCAGCCGCGGUAAUACGGAGGAUCCGAGCGUUAUCCGGAUUUAUUGGGUUUAAAGGGAGCGUAGGUGGAUUGUUAAGUCAGUUGUGAAAGUUUGCGGCUCAACCGUAAAAUUGCAGUUGAAACUGGCAGUCUUGAGUACAGUAGAGGUGGGCGGAAUUCGUGGUGUAGCGGUGAAAUGCUUAGAUAUCACGAAGAACUCCGAUUGCGAAGGCAGUUCACUGGACUGCAACUGACACUGAGGCUCGAAAGUGUGGGUAUCAAACAGGAUUAGAGACCCCUGUAGUC
rnacentral:rRNA from 1 species